GGGGAAUAUUGGACAAUGGGCGAAAGCCUGAUCCAGCCAUGCCGCGUGUGUGAAGAAGGUCUUCGGAUUGUAAAGCACUUUAAGUUGGGAGGAAGGGCAUUAACCUAAUACGUUAGUGUUUUGACGUUACCGACAGAAUAAGCACCGGCUAACUCUGUGCCAGCAGCCGCGGUAAUACAGAGGGUGCAAGCGUUAAUCGGAAUUACUGGGCGUAAAGCGCGCGUAGGUGGUUUGUUAAGUUGGAUGUGAAAUCCCCGGGCUCAACCUGGGAACUGCAUUCAAAACUGACUGACUAGAGUGUGGUAGAGGGUGGUGGAAUUUCCUGUGUAGCGGUGAAAUGCGUAGAUAUAGGAAGGAACACCAGUGGCGAAGGCGACCACCUGGACCAACACUGACACUGAGGUGCGAAAGCGUGGGGAGCAAACAGGAUUAGAUGCCCUGGUAGUCCACGCCGUAAACGAUGUCAACUAGCCGUUGGAAGCCUUGAGCUUUUAGUGGCGCAGCUAACGCAUUAAGUUGACCGCCUGGGGAGUACGGCCGCAAGGUUAAAACUCAAAUGAAAUGACGGGGGCCCGCACAAGCGGUGGAGCAUGUGGUUUAAUUCGAAGCAACGCGAAGAACCUUACCAGGCCUUGACAUCCAAUGAACUUUCUAGAGAUAGAUUGGUGCCUUCGGGAACAUUGAGACAGGUGCUGCAUGGCUGUCGUCAGCUCGUGUCGUGAGA
rnacentral:rRNA from 1 species